rnacentral:lncRNA from 1 species
CAGGUGCCUGUAGUCCCAGCUACUCAGGAGGCUGAGGCAGGAGAAUGGCAUGAACCCGGGAGGUGGAGCUUGCAGUGAGCCGAGAUCCCGCCACUGCACUCUAGCCUGGGCGACAGAGUGAGACUCCAUCUCAAAAAAAAAAAAAAAAAUUUACAACAUACACACAAAGACAAUAAAACCACACCAUUGGCUGGGGUCAGUGGCUCAUGCCUGUAAUCCCAGCACUUUGGGAGGCCGAGGUGGGAGGAUCGCUUGAGGUUGGGAGUUUGAGAACAGCCUGUCCCGUGCAGCUCCUCUCCAGGAGGUUCAAUGCUCACUUCAUAUCAAGGCUCUCCCUUUCACUUUGCUCCACACCAACUCAAAGUUCAACUGAAAUCCAAUAUGNNNNNNNNNNNNNNNNNNNNNNNNNNNNNNNNNNNNNNNNNNNNNNNNNNNNNNNNNNNNNNNNNNGAGCUACAAAAAAAAAAAAAAAAAAAAAAANNNNNNNNNNUCUUUCUUUUUUUUUUUUUUUUUUGUAGCUCCUGGUCUCCGGUUAAAGAGCCAAAUCUUUUUGAAAGAGUAGUCCUGCGGAGGACCCACUGGGCACCUGCUAGGGAAACAAUGGGAGGGAUGAAAACAGAGAAGGAAAAGAAAGCGGAUCCAGGGUUCCCACCUCCCUGGGUGAACCCGACUAUCAAUGCCCACAUUAGACAAAAGGAGACGAAAAGAUGUUUUCCUGGGCUCCUGGUUUGUGUUAUUUGAGGCCUUCCUUUUUCAAACAAUCUAAUCUAAUGUAUCAGGUAUCUGAUUCAAGAGGCACAUUCAUUGACUUUCGUAGUUAAUUUAUGGACUUAUGGCUAAUAUUUGUUGGCUGUUACAAAACUUUAUCCACAGCUCAUAAAGAUUUCUUAGUUGUGAGCAAUAGCAAUUUAAAUCUUUUCUUAGGGCAGGUUUGUUUUUUAGUUUAGUUUUUGUAAGAUUAUUACAGUAAUAGAACUUUGGCACUUUUACUAAGGGAAGGGAAUCUUGAAGGAUUUCAUAACCAACUGUGUUUUCUAGAAAGCUCAGACACACAAAACCCUAGGAAAGAGGCUCAGAAAACAUGAGAUGUAAGGUGAGGUUUGGCAUAGACUUUGAAUGAGGAAUGGCAAAGGUUGGCAUCUUCAUUCCAAAGUACCCACUGGCACACAGCAUUUGCUAAGCAAUUUACCAAGACAACAGGGGUAGCUUCCUUGGCUUUUUAUUUAUAAAAGCAUGCUAGACACAUCUUAGAACAGUGACUGGGAAGUCUGUCUGAUAUUGUUGUUGUUACUGUUAUUAUUAUUAUUAUCACUUUUUUGACAAUCCUGAGAUUUUUUGAACUCUGAUAAUGUGCCAUGUAGAAGACAAACUAAGAGGCUGGGCACGGUGACUCAUGCCUGUAAUCCCAGAACUUUGGGAGGCUGAGGUCAGGAGUUCGAGACCAGCCUGGGCAGCAUGGUGAGACUCCCACCUCUACUAAAAAUACAAAAAUUAGCCAGGUGCAGUGGCAGGCGCCUGUAAUCCCAGCUACUCAAGAGGCUGAGGCAGGAGAAUCGCUUGAACCCAGGAGGCGGAGGCUGCAGUGAGCCAAGACUGUGCCACUGCACUGUAGCCUGGGCCACAUCUCAAAAGAAAAAGAAAAAGAAAGUAGACAAACUAAGAUACAAAGGAAAGAAGAGACUUUUCAGAAAAUCUAUUUUUUAAGCUCUUGAUUCAUAAAGUACAAAAUGAUACUGGUCAAACAAUUGCUUCAGAAGUCUAACCCUAAAGAAAAUCUUAUCACCUUCUGUAAGAACAGAUUGCCAAAGUAAACAGUGAGUAUGUUCUCACUGCCCAGAAAGGCCCCACCUGUCACCUUUCUGGCAGAAGAGUGAAGGGAAGUAAAAGGUGAAAGUGCACAAGGAAGUUGCAACCUCAGUGAACCACAAAACCAUCCCCA